AGCAUAAUAACUUGCCUAUUAAUUGUAGGCUAGAAUGAAUGGGGUAACGAAAUAAGACCUUUCUUUUUCAGAAUCAUAAAAACUAAUAUUUAAGUGAAGAAGCUUAAAUUCUAAUAAAGGACAAGAAGACCCUAUAGAGCUUUAAUUUAAAAAUAUAAAAUAUUAUACAUUUCGGUUGGGGCAACCUUGGAUAAUUCAUCCACACUAUUUUAGAUAAACUUAUCACACUAAUGAUCCUAUAUUAGAUCACCGAACCAAGCUACCUUAGGGAUAACAGGCUAAUCCUAUUAUAGAGCUCUUAUCAACAAUAGGGA
rnacentral:rRNA from 1 species